CUGUGUUCAGCGCCCCGCCUAGAAAGGUGCUGAUAACACACGCUGGGUGUUGUUAGUGCCUUUCUGGGUAGAGCGAUGGUCUACAA
rfam:Ailuropoda melanoleuca scaffold5827_8, whole genome shotgun sequence.